rnacentral:rRNA from 1 species
GAGACCGUGACUGCGUACCUUUUGUAUAAUGGGUCAGCGACUUACAUUUUGUAGCGAGGUUAAGCGAAUAGCGGAGCCGUAGGGAAACCGAGUGUUAACUGCGCGUUUAGUUGCAAGGUGUAGACCCGAAACCGAGUGAUCUAGCCAUGGGCAGGUUGAAGGUUGAGUAACAUCAACUGGAGGACCGAACCGACUUAUGUUGAAAAAUGAGCGGAUGACUUGUGGCUGGGGGUGAAAGGCCAAUCAAACUCGGAGAUAUCUGGUUCUCCUCGAAAGCUAUUUAGGUAGCGCCUCGAGCGAAUACCAUUGGGGGUAGAGCACUGUUAAGGCUAGGGGGUCAUCCCGACUUACCAACCCUUUGCAAACUCCGAAUACCAAUGAGUACUACUCGGGAGACAGACAGCGGGUGCUAACGUCCGUUGUCAAAAGGGAAACAACCCAGACCGUCAGCUAAGGUCCCAAAGUGUAUGUUAAGUGGGAAACGAUGUGGGAAGGCUUAGACAGCUAGGAUGUUGGCUUAGAAGCAGCCAUCAUUUAAAGAAAGCGUAAUAGCUCACUAGUCGAGUCGGCCUGCGCGGAAGAUUUAACGGGGCUAAACAUACCACCGAAGCUACGGGUGCAUUUCUUAGGAAGUGCGCGGUAGAGGAGCGUUCUGUAAGCGGUUGAAGGUGAAGGGGUAACCCACACUGGACGUAUCAGAAGUGCGAAUGCUGACAUGAGUAACGAUAAAGGGAGUGAAAAACUCCCUCGCCGGAAGACCAAGGGUUCCUGUCCAACGUUAAUCGGGGCAGGGUGAGUCGACCCCUAAGGUGAGGCCGAAAGGCGUAAUCGAUGGGAAACAGAUUAAUAUUUCUGUACUUCCGCUAACUGCGAUGGAGAGACGGAGAAGGCUAGGCUAGCGCGGCGUUGGUAGUCCGCGUUUAAGGUGGUAGGUUGAUUUCUUAGGCAAAUCCGGGAAAUCGUACUUUAAUGUACAGGCUGAGAGCUGAUGACGAGUCACUAAGGUGAUGAAGUAGUUGAUGCCAUGCUUCCAGGAAAAUCUUCUAAGCUUCAGGUUAGCGGGAAUCGUACCCCAAACCGACACAGGUGGUCGGGUAGAGAAUACCAAGGCGCUUGAGAGAACUCGGCUGAAGGAACUAGGCAAAAUGGUACCGUAACUUCGGGAGAAGGUACGCUCUUGUUGGUGAUGAGACUUGCUCUCUAAGCUGACGGGAGUCGCAGAUACCAGGUGGCUGCAACUGUUUAUCAAAAACACAGCACUGUGCAAAAUCGCAAGAUGACGUAUACGGUGUGACGCCUGCCCGGUGCCGGAAGGUUAAUUGAUUGGGUUAUCUUCGGAGAAGCUCAUGAUCGAAGCCCCGGUAAACGGCGGCCGUAACUAUAACGGUCCUAAGGUAGCGAAAUUCCUUGUCGGGUAAGUUCCGACCUGCACGAAUGGCGUAAUGAUGGCCACGCUGUCUCCAGCCGAGACUCAGUGAAGUUGAAAUUGCGGUGAAGAUGCCGUAUACCCGCGGCUAGACGGAAAGACCCCGUGAACCUUUACUAUAGCUUGGCACUGAACAUUGAACCUACAUGUGUAGGAUAGGUGGGAGACUUUGAAGCUUGGACGCUAGUCUGAGUGGAGUCAAUCUUGAAAUACCACCCUUGUAGUUUUGAUGUUCUAACUCUGGCCCCUUAUCGGGGUUGAGGACAGUGCCUGGUGGGUAGUUUGACUGGGGCGGUCUCCUCCCAAAGAGUAACGGAGGAGCACGAAGGUUGGCUAAGUACGGUCGGACAUCGUACGGUUAGUGCAAUGGCAUAAGCCAGCUUAACUGCGAGACAUACACGUCGAGCAGGUACGAAAGUAGGUCAUAGUGAUCCGGUGGUUCUGAAUGGAAGGGCCAUCGCUCAACGGAUAAAAGGUACUCCGGGGAUAACAGGCUGAUACCGCCCAAGAGUUCAUAUCGACGGCGGUGUUUGGCACCUCGAUGUCGGCUCAUCACAUCCUGGGGCUGAAGUCGGUCCCAAGGGUAUGGCUGUUCGCCAUUUAAAGUGGUACGCGAGCUGGGUUCAGAACGUCGUGAGACAGUUCGGUCCCUAUCUGCCGUGGGCGUUGGAUGAUUGAAGGGAGCUGCUCCUAGUACGAGAGGACCGGAGUGGACGAACCGCUGGUGUUCGGGUUGUCAUGCCAAUGGCAUUGCCCGGUAGCUACGUUCGGAAUCGAUAACCGCUGAAAGCAUCUAAGCGGGAAGCGAGCCCUAAGAUGAGUCAUCCCUAGAGCUUUAAGCUCUCUAAAGGGCCGUAGGAGACUACUACGUUGAUAGGCAAGGUGUGUAAGCGUUGUGAGGCGUUGAGCUAACUUGUACUAAUGACCCGUGAGGCUUAACCAUACAACCCAGAUGGGUUUU